rnacentral:rRNA from 1 species
AUGGAAGUCUUCUGGAUCGUCGGUCUCGAGGCGUCACAAGGUGUUCUUGGAUGCUCCGGCGAAAUUGCUCCUACAACCGUUGAUGAUCUUGAGUGGCUGAAACAGAAGAGCAACGGGUUUGAUGUUGGUGCAAGCCGGAACAACCUCAGGAUUUCAGAGGACAAAAACUGUUUCCAUUCCCUUGUCAAGAAGAGAGACACCAACGACAAAGUCACGAUGAAUAGCCGUGAGUCCACCCUCGCGAUCUGCUGGUCGCCCCAGGCUGCUCUGGCACCGCCGCUCAAGUUCAGCCUGGGAGAUGCCUUCCUGUUCAUUAAAAAAAAAUUAGACAUGCGGGAGGAGAAUUGGUGCAACCGUCGGAUGGAAAAUGGGGCAACGGGAGCACGGAUGGGAGCACAUUGA